ACAUCCAGCGAACUUGGCAGAGAUGGCCUUGGUGCCUUCGGGAACGCUGAGACAGGUGCUGCAUGGCUGUCGUCAGCUCGUGUUGUGAAAUGUUGGGUUAAGUCCCGCAACGAGCGCAACCCUUAUCCUUUGUUGCCAGCGAUUCGGUCGGGAACUCAAAGGAGACUGCCGGUGAUAAACCGGAGGAAGGUGGGGAUGACGUCAAGUCAUCAUGGCCCUUACGAGUAGGGCUACACACGUGCUACAAUGGCGCAUACAAAGAGAAGCGACCUCGCGAGAGCAAGCGGACCUCAUAAAGUGCGUCGUAGUCCGGAUCGGAGUCUGCAACUCGACUCCGUGAAGUCGGAAUCGCUAGUAAUCGUGGAUCAGAAUGCCACGGUGAAUACGUUCCCGGGCCUUGUACACACCGCCCGUCACACCAUGGGAGUGGGUUGCAAAAGAAGUAGGUAGCUUAACCUUCGGGAGGGCGCUUACCACUUUGUGAUUCAUGACUGGGGUGAAGUCGUAACAAGGUAAGCGUAGCGAG
rnacentral:rRNA from 1 species